CCUGAAGAAAAAACUGCAAAAACUUCAAAACAGGCCAGCAAGGGUCAUUACAGGUGAUACUUAUGAUAUACGUUCAAAAGAUAUUUAAAAAAAGUUGAAUUGGAAAAACCUAUCCGUAAAAAGAAAAGAAAAAGCAAGUGCGUAUGUUUCAAAAGCUAUUACCGGAAAUUGCCCGAAAAAUAUAGCUGAAAAGUUUAAAAUAUCAAAUUCUGAAAGAUAUUAUUUAAGAAGCAAUAAUAAAUUUUUAGCAUU